rnacentral:rRNA from 1 species
CAAUAGCGUAUAUUUAAGUUGCUGCAGUUAAAAAGCUCGUAGUUGGAUUUCGGGUGGGAAUGGCCGGUCCGCCGUUUCGGUGUGCACUUGCUACGCCCACCUUGCUGCCGGGGACGUGCUCUUGAGUUCACGCUCGGGACACGGAGUCGGCGAGGUUACUUUGAGUAAAUUAGAGUGUUCAAAGCAGGCCUACGCUCUGAAUACAUUAGCAUGGAAUAACACUAUAGGACUCUGGCCUAUCUUGUUGGUCUGUAGGACCGGAGUAAUGAUUAAGAGGGACAGUCGGGGGCAUUCGUAUUUCAUUGUCAGAGGUGAAAUUCUUGGAUUUAUGAAAGACGAACUACUGCGAAAGCAUUUGCCAAGGAUGUUUUCAUUAA